GGCCAUAUCGUCUAGUGGUUAGGACAGCGGGUUCUCAAUCCGCUAACCGGAGUUCGAUCCUCCGUAUGGUCACAA
rnacentral:tRNA from 2 species